rnacentral:tRNA from 1 species
GCGCCCGUUGUUUAGCGGUAGAAUCCGACCUUGCCAAGGUCGUGGCCCGGGUUCGAUUCCCGGCGGGCGCA